rnacentral:rRNA from 1 species
CCUACGGGAGGCAGCAGUGAGGAAUAUUGGUCAAUGGCCGAGAGGCUGAACCAGCCAAGUCGCGUGAGGGAAGACGGCCCUACGGGUUGUAAACUGCUUUUAUACGGGAAUAACGCGCCUUACGUGUAGGGCUUUGCAUGUACCGUAUGAAUAAGGACCGGCUAAUUCCGUGCCAGCAGCCGCGGUAAUACGGAAGGUCCGGGCGUUAUCCGGAUUUAUUGGGUUUAAAGGGAGCGUAGGCCGCAUGUCAAGCGUGCUGUGAAAUGUCCGGGCUCAACCCGGGCCUUGCAGCGCGAACUGGCGUGCUUGAGUCCGCGGAAAGCAGGCGGAAUUCGUCGUGUAGCGGUGAAAUGCUUAGAUAUGACGAAGAACCCCGAUUGCGAAGGCAGCUUGCUGCAGCGGAACUGACGCUGAUGCUCGAAAGCGCGGGUAUCGAACAGGAUUAGAUACCCGAGUAGUC